rnacentral:rRNA from 1 species
GACGAACGCUGGCGGCGUGCUUAACACAUGCAAGUCGAACGGAAAGGCCCUGCUUUUGUGGGGUGCUCGAGUGGCGAACGGGUGAGUAACACGUGAGUAACCUGCCCUUGACUUUGGGAUAACUUCAGGAAACUGGGGCUAAUACCGGAUAGGAGCUCCUGCUGCAUGGUGGGGGUUGGAAAGUUUCGGCGGUUGGGGAUGGACUCGCGGCUUAUCAGCUUGUUGGUGGGGUAGUGGCGUACCAAGGCUUUGACGGGUAGCCGGCCUGAGAGGGUGACCGGCCACAUGGGGACUGAGAUACGGCCCAGACGCCUACGGGAGGCAGCAGUGGGGAAUAUUGCACAAUGGGCGGAAGCCUGAUGCAGCAACGCCGCGUGCGGGAUGACGGCCUUCGGGUUGUAAACCGCUUUCGCCUGUGACGAAGCGUGAGUGACGGUAAUGGGUAAAGAAGCACCGGCUAACUACG